rfam:Brachypodium distachyon strain Bd21 chromosome 2, whole genome shotgun sequence.
UAACUACUUCCUCCGUUCAACAAAUGAUGUCUCAACUUUGACUGAAUUUGAAUGCAUCUAUAUGCUAAGUCAUGUCUACAUACAUUCAAAUUUUGACAAACUUGAGACAUCUUUUGUUGAACGGAGGGAGUAUAAG